rnacentral:pre_miRNA from 14 species
AAAUAAAAAGAGCUGUUAGUUUGGAUGGCUGUGCUCUGAGGAAACACGGUGUCAUUUCAUCAGGCCAUAGCUGUCCAAAACUCGUUUCC